UGGCUUAUAGUUCAAGUGGUAGAACGAGGGACGCAAUCCCUAUGUUGUCGGUUCGAGUCCGACUAAGCUAU
rnacentral:tRNA from 1 species